rnacentral:rRNA from 1 species
AUUGAACGCUGGCGGCAGGCUUAACACAUGCAAGUCGAGCGAGCGGCGGACGGGUGAGUAAUGUCUGGGAAACUGCCUGAUGGAGGGGGAUAACUACUGGAACCGGUAGCUAAUACCGCUUACCAUGCGAUGUGCCCAGAUGGGAUUAGCUAGUUGGGGGGGUAAUGGUUCACCUAGGCGACGAUCCCUAGCUGGUCUGAGAGGAUGACCAGCCAAACUGGAACUGAGACACGGUCCAGACUCCUACGGGAGGCAGCAGUGGGGAAUAUUGGACAAUGGGCGCAAGCCUGAUGCAGCCAUGCCGCGUGAGUGAAGAAGGCCGUCGGAUUGUAAAGCACUGUCGGCGGGGAGGCGGUACUCGCAGAGGAAGCACCGGCUAACUCCGUGCCAGCCGCCGCGGUAAUUC